UAAAGCAAGAAAGGGCGUAUGGGGAAUGCCUAGGCACACUCCGGCGAAGAAGGACGCAGCAAACAGCGAAAUGCGACGGGAAGCGGUAAGCACGCAAAGAUCCGUCGAUAUCCGAAUGGGGGAACCCGCAUGGAGUCAAAUCCAUGGAUCACAUGUUGAAUACAUAGACAUGAUGAGGCGAGACGCAGGGAACUGAAACAUCUAAGUACCUGCAGGAAGAGAAAAUAAGAAUGAUUUUCUGAGUAGCGGCGAGCGAAAGGGAAAGAGCCCAAACCGAUCUGAGGAUCGGGGUAGUAGGAUCAUCAAUAAAUCUGACAGAGGAUCAUAGAGGAAUCACAUGGGAAGGUGAGCGAGAGAGGGUGAGAGCCCCGUACUCGAAAUGAGAGACUGGAGAGAGAUGACACCUGAGUAGGGCGGGACACGAGAAAUCCUGUCUGAAUCAGCCGGGACCAUCCGGCAAGGCUAAAUACGAGAGAGUGACCGAUAGUGAACCAGUACCGUGAGGGAAAGGUGAAAAGAACCCCGGGAGGGGAGUGAAAGAGAACCUGAAACCAUAUGCCUACAAGAAGUCAGAGCCCGUUAAAGGGUGAUGGCGUGCCUUUUGUAGAAUGAACCGGCGAGUUACUGUAUGGAGCGAGGUUAAGCAGGAUAUGCGGAGCCGAAGCGAAAGCGAGUCUUAAGAGGGCGAAAGUUGCAUGCAGUAGACCCGAAACCGGGUGAUCUAGCCAUGACCAGGUUGAAGUUGGGGUAAAACCCGAUGGAGGACCGAACCGACCCCCGUUGAAACGUUGGCGGAUGAGUUGUGGCUAGGGGUGAAAUUCCAAUCGAACCCGGAGAUAGCUGGUUCUCCCCGAAAUAGCUUUAGGGCUAGCGUCGAGAGAAGAGUUGCGUGAAGGUAGAGCACUGAAUAUGUGAUGGCCCCAUCUCGGGGUACUGAGCAUAAUCAAACUGCGAAUGUCACGCCAACAUGCUCGGCAGUCAGACAGCGGGUGAUAAGGUCCGUUGUCAAGAGGGAAACAGCCCAGACCAUCAGCUAAGGUCCCAAAAUGUAUGCUAAGUGGAAAAGGAUGUGGAGAUGUACAGACAACUAGGAGGUUGGCUCAGAAGCAGCCAUCCUUUAAAGAGUGCGUAACAGCUCACUAGUCGAAUGACUCUGCGCCGAUAAUUUACCGGGGCUAAGCAUACUACCGAAGCUAUGGAUCCCAAGGGAUGGUAGGGGAGCGUUCCAUGAACGGAGAAGUACGACCGAAAGGACGUGUGGAGAUCAUGGAAGAGAGAAUGCCGGUGUGAGUAGCGGAACGUGGGUGAGAAUCCCACGCACCGAAAACCCAAGGUUUCCAGAGGAAGGUUCGUCCGCUCUGGGUAAGUCGGGACCUAAGGCGAGGCCGAGAGGCGUAGUCGAUGGACAACAGGUAGAGAUUCCUGUACUCAUAUAUAUGUGAAGGAAUGACGGAGAGAGGAAGCUGCAGCCAGCGGCUGGAAGAGCUGGUGCAAGCGAGAUAUCGGGAUGGCAGGCAAAUCCACCAUCCGAAACGAGAAGGCGUGAAGCGUACGGAAAGCUACGGCGAGUACGGAAGGCAGUGGAGGAACUUCCAAGAAAAGUUUCUAACGUUAAGUAUAUAUGGCCCGUACCGAAAAUGGACACACAUGGGUGAGGAGAGAAUCCUAAGGUGAGCGAGAGAACUAUAGCUAAGGAACUCUGCAAAAUGACUCCGUAACUUAGGGAGAAGGAGUGCUCAUAGAGAUAUGAGCCGCAGUGAAACGGCCCAAGCGACUGUUUACCAAAAACACAGCUCUCUGCUAAGCCGCAAGGCGAAGUAUAGGGGGUGACGCCUGCCCGGUGCUGGAAGGUUAAGGGGAGGGGUUAACGCAAGUGAAGCCCUGAACUGAAGCCCCAGUAAACGGCGGCCGUAACUAUAACGGUCCUAAGGUAGCGAAAUUCCUUGUCAGGUAAGUUCUGACCCGC
rnacentral:rRNA from 1 species